UACGAAGGGGACUAGCGUUGUUCGGAAUCACUGGGCGUAAAGCGCACGUAGGCGGAUGUGUCAGUCAGGGGUGAAAUCCCGGGGCUCAACCUCGGAACUGCCUUUGAUACAGCACGUCUCGAGUCCGGAAGAGGUGGGUGGAAUUCCUAGUGUAGAGGUGAAAUUCGUAGAUAUUAGGAAGAACACCGGUGGCGAAGGCGGCCCACUGGUCCGGUACUGACGCUGAGGCGCGACAGCGUGGGGAGCAAACAGG
rnacentral:rRNA from 1 species